rnacentral:rRNA from 1 species
AAUGAACGCUGGCGGCGCGCCUAAUACAUGCAAGUCGAGCGAGAAGACGUAGCAAUACGUUUGUAAAGCGGCGAACGGGUGAGGAAUACAUGGGUAACCUACCCUCGAGUGGGGAAUAACUAGCCGAAAGGUUAGCUAAUACCGCGUACGCUUCUUGGACUUCGGUUCAGGGAGGAAAGCGAUGCCGAGGGUAUCGCGCUCUUGGAUGGGCUCAUGUCCUAUCAGCUUGUUGGGAGGUAACGGCUC